CCUGUCGCCCUAGAGGCAUUAGGUGUGGCUGCUGUAUCACAUAUGCAUUGGUAGGUGGCAGAGAGAAGAGAGGCUAUGUACUACACACCCAGUGUUCUGAUCCAUGAACAUCUGAAAGAUUAGUAGCCUAACCAU
ensembl:snoRNA Gm23273 predicted gene, 23273